AGGUGUUGGAGAAGGAGAUUGUUUAGUACCGCAGAAACGCGUGAAGUUCGCCGCCUGGGGAGUACGGUAGCAAGAUUAAAACUCAAAGGAAUUGACGGGGACCCGCACAAGCGGUGGAUGAUGUGGAUUAAUUCGAUGCAACGCGAAAAACCUUACCUACCCUUGACAUACCUGGAAUCCUGAAGGGAUUUGGGAGUGCCCGAAAGGGAACCGGGACACAGGUGCUGCAUGGCUGUCGUCAGCUCGUGUCGUGAGAUGUUGGGUUAAGUCCCGCAACGAGCGCAACCCUUGUCGCUAAUUGCCAUCAUUUAGUUGGGCACUUUAGCGAGACUGCCGGUGACAAACCGGAGGAAGGUGGGGAUGACGUCAAGUCCUCAUGGCCCUUAUGGGUAGGGCUUCACACGUCAUACAAUGGUCGGUACAGAGGGUCGCCAACCCGCGAGGGGGAGCCAAUCCCAGAAAGCCGAUCGUAGUCCGGAUUGGAGUCUGCAACUCGACUCCAUGAAGUCGGAAUCGCUAGUAAUCGUGGAUCAGCAUGCCACGGUGAAUACGUUCCCGGGUCUUGUACACACCGCCCGUCACACCAUGGGAGUGGGUUUCACCAGAAGUAGUUAGCCUAACCGCAAGGGGGGCGAUUACCACGGUGGGAUUCAUGACAGGGAUGAAAGUCGGAACGAAGGUAAACCCCAAAGGAGAAGC
rnacentral:rRNA from 1 species